ensembl:lncRNA
UGUUUAGGUUUCCUAUGUCUUCCAGUCUGUGCUGGGCAAGUGAAGCCAACUCACUCCUCUCUCGCUCACUGUCCAGCAACCUGCUUCGGGUGGCCUCCAAUUCUACACACAAGCACACACACUUCCAUUAUAAACCAACCCAGUGUUCACUGUUGUCCUCUACCAAGAUAGAAUUAGUUGAUUUGGUCUGUAGCUGUUUGAUUGACGGAUGUUCUGCUCUAGGAGAACAAGGAGGAGGCUGAAUGGUGUGAGAACAGGUGGGUCACAUAGAUCACUAUCUCCACCUGUCUGGAUGAGGGCCUUCUCUGCCUCUCGGUCUGUCAGCUGGCUCUGUGUUUCCUCCAGGGCUUUCCGUAGCUCUGUGAGGUCGUCCUGGACUUCUUGCAGUUGUGACUGAGCAGUGCUGAGCUCCUCCUGCAAAGUCCACACUGUGGAGAGACACAGGAUCAAACCAGUCCUGAGGGAGAAUCUCCCAGAGAACCACACACAUACAGGCUGCACCUUCUGGGUUAUACAACAUCUCCUGGUUCUGAUGAGACUCUGCUCUCUCCCUCUGCUUCAACUGCUGGUUAAGAAACCGCACUCGCCUGGGACACACACACACACAAUAUUUAUGUAUAUACACAACUGUAACUACACUUCCUUGGUAUUUACAUCCCCUGAGACUUCCUCCAUGUUUCCAUGUCAAAGGGUUUGUUAGAGCACGCAGGUAAGCUACCUGCGGAGCAGAUUGUUCUGGCUGUGAAGGGACACUCGUUCUGGUUCGGUCCAUAUGUUUGAACUCCCAGCAUCCAUCAUCGGUGAAGACACGGUCUGCUCCAGAUGAGUGAGCAGCCUCUCUGCUACACUGCCUGCAUGCACGAGCACACACAAUACAACAAGAACCAGCUGAUAUAUUACCGUGUCCAUGUACAGUCAGACAGACAGGUUACCUUGUCCAGCGAUCAGAGCCUUCAGUUCUCCCAGCAAGUACUGAACCGUCUUCACUUUCUCAUCUGUCUCUCCUGUGCAGUCCCUCCCACUGGGUGUGUCCAACAGGACUCUGUCAACCUGUCCAAGCUCCAGCCGCAUGUCUGACUUCUUUGGACAGCUUUGGACACUGAUGUCUCUUACAGGAACAACCUCCCCCUCUACUCUAUCCCAAUCUACCUUGCAGUGUGUGUGGGAGAUGGAUGGAGGGAGGUCCGGGGGUGGAUGGAUUGAGGGCUGAGAUGGAUGGACGGACGUCCGGAAAAGAUGGAUCGAGGACUGCGAUCGUUGAUUGGAGGUCUGUUUCCCAGGUAGAUGGAAGAGGGGCUGUGGCUCAGAUAUAUGGUUGGAGGUCUGAGAUGGACAGAUGGAGGUCUGAGGUGGGUGGUUGGAGGUCUGUGAUGGACAGAUGGAGGUCUGGCAUGGAGGGAUGGAGGUCUGAGGUGGGUGGUUGGAGGUCUGUGAUGGACAGAUGGAGGUCGAAGGUGGAUGGGUGGAGGUCUGAGAUGGAGGGAUGGAGGCAUGAGAUCGAGGGCAAGAAGUCUGAGGUAAUUGGUUGGAGGUUUGAGGUGGAUGGGUGGAGGUCUGAGGUGGAUCAGUAGAUGGUUUUCUAACAGGACGUUGAGCUUUGAAGCCUGGUCCAGGCUGACGCCCCCUGUGAUCUGGAGGAUGAAGGGAACAGGUAUCAAGAGAAGGUGGAGGAGAGACUAUGUAUCUAUAUAGACUAUAUAGUACUAAUAAAACAAAACACUAACUAUUAGAGAUUAUAUUAAUGAUGUAUUCCUAUAGACCUCAUCAGUACUGACUGACUUCAUGAACCUCUUUAAUUAUUUCUAACUAUUAACAUGUUCAUAGAACCAAUAGAACGUGUCCAUUGGACAUAUAAAGAGAUGAAGUGCAGAGCUCCAAGUUAGUCCACAGGAUUCUAUCUACACACCGUCUUCAGCAGAGGUGUCGAAGUACAAGUACAAAUGUACAGUACAGUAACGAAGUACAAAUACUUCGUUACUGUACUUAAGUAGAAAUUUUGGGUAUCUAUACUUUACUGUAUUAUUUGUUUUUCAGACGACUUUUUACUUCUACUCCUUACAUUUUAAAAACAGCCAUGUUACUUCCGGCUUGUCGUAGUAGACACCGGGUGGGAAAAGUGGUCGGUGGUAUUUAGCGACAUGGACCCUCCUCCUCUUCCUCCUCCUCCUCCUCUUCCUCACGCAAUCUUCAUGACCGUGGGUUUGUCCUAAAUGUUUUAUUGAGAGUCUGGCACAACACAGCGACUUGCAAGUAGUGCAGCGUAUUAAAUAAAGUGAUGUGUGUCUUAAUGCGGCUUGAGAAAUGAACACAAAGGGAUUCUGUAUUUGCUCAUGAAGCCUGAACAUACUGGUUAUUUGGCCAAUGUUUUGAUAACCGGCCGCUGCCAGUUCAGUGUUUCCCAUCAUUAUAAACAGAGUGCGAACCCCCCCCCCCCGCCACCCAUGACGUAGUAAACCUGGGGGAGACACUGCAGUCUACCUCAUCAAUGGGAACAACGUGUGUGUGUGACUCGUGUCACUGGAAAUGGGUUGUGGUUUUAUCUGUUUAAGUCAGAUACAUUUGUUGUUUUGUUGUUGCGUCUCUGAAUAUCGCCAUGUUUCCACCAUCCCAACGGCAGGUCACGUGAUCUCCAGGCACCUUCUGAUCACAUUGUAAUGGACUGACGUGUGUGUGAGCGAGGUUACGCAUUAAGAAAUUGUCCUUAAUGGAAUUUCUUACAUUACUUUUACUUGUACAGUAUACUUUAAGUAGUUUUGAAACCAGUACUUUUAUACUUUUACUUAAGUAAAAAGCUUGAGUCGAUACUUCAACAGGAGUCUUGUUAAACCCUAGUAUCUGUACUUCUACUUGAGUAUCAGUAGGAGGGUUCGACAGAAGCUGGGAAUAUUAGUGGUCAACCACUCUGAGCCAGAGCUGCACACAUCUUAAGAAUUCAGAUUUUUAGAUUGAUGUAAACUUGUAUUCGUCAGAUUGUUUUGUUGUAGGCUUCAGAGAAGACAUCACUGCUGCUCAGACAAUGCUUUAACUCAGAGACAUAAGUAAGUAGUAAGUAAAUAACAUAAGUUGUCCCUUUCACACGGACAGGUAAGUUAAACUCAAAUACAGACUCAAUAUCACACACCUACCUUUCUUUGUGUUUUUGAUAGUUCUCUUCCUGAGUGAGCUACAUGGUGAUCCACCCUUCGCUGCCAUGGGGGGGUCUGUUAAGGAACACACGUUACCGUUCCUGUAGAACAGCUUUAUCUUCUUAAAUUAAACAAACAAACUAAGCCUUGUGUUAUUUUCCCUCCCCUCUCG